AGCAGCUCCUGCCUGAAGCUGAUGCCUGAGCCGGUGGAGUAGUGCAUCGACAGGUGUUUCCUGAUCAUGGAAGUCACAAGAACCAUCUGAGCGCUGGAGUCAGGCUUGCCUGUUGCGCAGCACCAGUCCUCCAUCCUCUUGUACUCCUCCUCCAGUCUUUCCAGCAGACAACAUACCUGCAAGUGGACAAUAAGUCUUCUGGAAAGCCAGAGAGGCGAUGACCACUUUGCGUUUGCCGUGUGUUUUGGGCAAGAGCUGCAGCCAAGCCUUUGCCUUCUGAUGAACCAGCAGUAAGCUCUGGGCUGUAUUCUGCAGGCAAAAAGACAAAAACAUGGAUGAGCAACCAAUGAUCAA